rnacentral:rRNA from 1 species
UACGGGGGGGGCAAGCGUUGUUCGGAAUUACUGGGCGUAAAGCGCGUGUAGGCGGCUUUGCAAGUCGGAUGUGAAAGCCCACGGCUCAACCGUGGAAGUGCAUCCGAAACUGCAUGGCUGGAGUCUCGGAGAGGAAGGUGGAAUGCUUGGUGUAGAGGUGAAAUUCGUAGAUAUCAAGCAGAACACCUGCGGCGAAGGCGGCCUUCUGGACGAUGACUGACGCUGAGACGCGAAAGCGUGGGGAGCAAACAGG